rnacentral:rRNA from 1 species
UACGAAGGGUGCAAGCGUUAAUCGGAAUUACUGGGCGUAAAGGGUGCGUAGGCGGUUAUUUAAGUCUGACGUGAAAUCCCCGGGCUCAACCUGGGAAUUGCGUUGGAGACUGCAAGGCUGGAGUCUGGCAGAGGGGGGUAGAAUUCCACGUGUAGCAGUGAAAUGCGUAGAGAUGUGGAGGAACACCGAUGGCGAAGGCAGCCCCCUGGGUCAAGACUGACGCUCAUGCACGAAAGCGUGGGGAGCAAACAGG